rnacentral:rRNA from 1 species
UUGAUCCUGGCUCAGAAUCAACGCUGGCGGCGUGCCUAACACAUGCAAGUCGAACGAGAAAGUGGAGCAAUCCAUGAGUAAAGUGGCGGCCGGGUGAGUUACACGUGACCAAUCUACCCUUGAGUGGGGGAUAACCUCGGGAAACCGGGUCUAAUACCGCAUAAUAUCCUUGGAACGGAAGUACUGGGGAUCAAAGGAGUAAUUCGCUUAAGGAGGAGGUCGCGGCUGAUUAGCUAGUUGGCGGGGUAAUGGCCCACCAAGGCAAAGAUCGGUAGCCGGCCUGAGAGGGCGCACGGCCAUACUGGAACUGAAACACGGUCCAGACUCCUACGGGAGGCAGCAGUGGGGAUUUUUGCGCAAUGGGGGAAACCCUGACGCAGCAACGCCGCGUGGAGGAUGUAGUCCCUUGGGACGUAAACUCCUUUCGACCCGGACGAUAAUGACGGUACUGGUGGAAGAAGCCCCGGCUAACUUCGUGCCAGCAGCCGCGGUAAUAAGGU